rnacentral:rRNA from 1 species
CCUACGGGUGGCUGCAGUGGGGAAUAUUGGACAAUGGGCGAAAGCCUGAUCCAGCCAUGCCGCGUGUGUGAAGAAGGCCUUCGGGUUGUAAAGCACUUUCAGUGGGGAAGAAAGCCUUGGGGCUAAUACCCUCGAGGAAGGACAUCACCCACAGAAGAAGCACCGGCUAACUCCGUGCCAGCAGCCGCGGUAAUACGGAGGGUGCGAGCGUUAAUCGGAAUUACUGGGCGUAAAGCGCGCGUAGGCGGUCUGAUAAGCCGGUUGUGAAAGCCCCGGGCUCAACCUGGGAACGGCAUCCGGAACUGUCAGGCUAGAGUGCAUGAGAGGAAGGUAGAAUUCCCGGUGUAGCGGUGAAAUGCGUAGAGAUCGGGCGGAAUACCAGUGGCGAAGGCGGCCUUCUGAACUGACACUGACGCUGAGGUGCGAAAGCGUGGGUAGCAAACAGGAUUAGAUACCCUUGUAGUC